GGCGUAAGGGUGCUUAACACGUGGGUAAUCUGCCGUAAAGCCCGGAAUAACUUGCUGAAAGGCGAGCUAAUACCGGAUGUGAUUUCGGAGGGGCCUCUCUCUGAAAUUAAAGCUGGGGACCGCAAGGCCUGGCACUUUACGAUGAGCCCGCGGCCUAUCAGCUAGUUGGCGAGGUAACGGCUCACCAAGGCUUAGACGGGUAGCUGGUCUGAGAGGACGACCAGCCACACUGGAACUGAGACACGGUCUAGACACCUACGGGUGGCAGCAGUCGAGAAUUUUUCACAAUGGGGGAAACCCUGAUGGAGCGACGCCGCGUGGGGGAUGAAUGGCUUCGGCCCGUAAACCCCUGUCAUUUGCGAUCAAGAUUGUCGAACUAACACUUCGGCAGUUUGAUGGUAGCGGAAGAGGAAGGGACGGCUAACUCUGUGCCAGCAGCCGCGGUAAUACAGAGGUCCCAAGCGUUGUUCGGAUUCACUGGGCGUAAAGGGUGCGUAGGCGGUCGGGUAAGUCUGAUGUGAAAUCCCGCAGCUCAACUGCGGAACUGCAUC
rnacentral:rRNA from 1 species